AGAGCGAACGCUGGCGGCAGGCCUAACACAUGCAAGUCGAGCGCCCGUAGCAAUACGGGAGCGGCAGACGGGAGAGUAACACGUGGGAACGCGCCCUUCGGUUCGGAAUAACUCAGGGAAACUUGAGCUAAUACCGGAUACGCCCUUACGGGGAAAGAUUUAUUGCCGAAGGAACGGCCCGCGUCCGAUUAGCUAGUUGGUGAGGUAAUGGCUCACCAAGGCGACGAUCGGUAGCUGGUCUGAGAGGAUGACCAGCCUCACUGGGACUGAGACACGGCCCAGACUCCUACGGGAGGCAGCAGUGGGGAAUAUUGGACAAUGGGCGCAAGCCUGAUCCAGCCAUGCCGCGUGGAUGAUGAAGGCCUUAGGGUUGUAAAGUCCUUUUAACGGGGAAGAUAAUGACGGUACCCGUAGAAUAAGCCCGGCUAACUUCGUGCCAGCAGCCGC
rnacentral:rRNA from 1 species